UAUCCGGAAUUAUUGGGCGUAAAGAGCUCGUAGGCGGUUUGUCGCGUCUGCUGUGAAAUCUGGGGGCUCAACCCCCAGCCUGCAGUGGGUACGGGCAGACUAGAGUGCGGUAGGGGAGAUUGGAAUUCCUGGUGUAGCGGUGGAAUGCGCAGAUAUCAGGAGGAACACCGAUGGCGAAGGCAGAUCUCUGGGCCGUAACUGACGCUGAGGAGCGAAAGCAUGGGGAGCGAACAGGAUUAGAUACCCUGGUAGUCCAUGCCGUAAACGUUGGGAACUAGAUGUGGGGACCAUUCCACGGUCUCCGUGUCGCAGCUAACGCAUUAAGUUCCCCGCCUGGGGAGUACGGCCGCAAGGCUAAAACUCAAAGGAAUUGACGGGGGCCCGCACAAGCGGCGGAGCAUGCGGAUUAAUUCGAUGCAACGCGAAGAACCUUACCAAGGCUUGACAUAUACCGGAAACGGCCAGAGAUGGUCGCCCCGCAAGGUCGGUAUACAGGUGGUGCAUGGUUGUCGUCAGCUCGUGUCGUGAGAUGUUGGGUUAAGUCCCGCAACGAGCGCAACCCUCGUUCUAUGUUGCCAGCACGUUAUGGUGGGAACUCAUAGGAGACUGCCGGGGUCAACUCGGAGGAAGGUGGGGAUGACGUCAAAUCAUCAUGCCCCUUAUGUCUUGGGCUUCACGCAUGCUACAAUGGCCGGUACAAAGGGCUGCGAUACCGUAAGGUGGAGCGAAUCCCAAAAAGCCGGUCUCAGUUCGGAUUGAGGUCUGCAACUCGACCUCAUGAAGUCGGAGUCGCUAGUAAUCGCAGAUCAGCAACGCUGCGGUGAAUACGUUCCCGGGCCUUGUACACACCGCCCGUCAAGUCAUGAAAGUCGGUAACACCCGAAGCCAGUGG
rnacentral:rRNA from 1 species